UUUGUAAAGUCAACAUAUGAAUCAAUAGAGAAUUUACUAAAGUGCGGCUCCGAACGAAGACAUGCGAUUCAACUGCGUAUAAAAUAUGAUAUGACUCAAUUUUAUUUUUGUUGUCUAUUUAUUUACCGUCUUUUAUGCAAAAUUUAAAAUCUAAAAUCCAAACUUUAUUAACUUAAAAACCACUAUAAAUCCCAAAUAUUU
rnacentral:sRNA from 1 species